rnacentral:rRNA from 1 species
GUUAAGGCUGAGGCGUGAUGACGAGGCACCACGGUGCUGAAGUGACAAAUGCCCUGCUUCCAGGAAAAGCCUCUAAGCAUCAGGUAACAUCAAAUCGUACCCCAAACCGACACAGGUGGUCAGGUAGAGAAUACCAAGGCGCUUGAGAGAACUCGGGUGAAGGAACUAGGCAAAAUGGUGCCGUAACUUCGGGAGAAGGCACGCUGACAUGUAGGUGAAGCCCCUGCGGGUGGAGCUGAAGUCAGUCGAAGAUACCAGCUGGCUGCAACUGUUUAUUAAAAACACAGCACUGUGCAAACACGAAAGUGGACGUAUACGGUGUGACGCCUGCCCGGUGCCGGAAGGUUAAUUGAUGGGGUUAUCGCAAGAGAAGCUCCUGAUCGAAGCCCCGGUAAACGGCGGCCGUAACUAUAACGGUCCUAAGGUAGCGAAAUUCCUUGUCGGGUAAGUUCCGACCUGCACGAAUGGCGUAAUGAUGGCCAGGCUGUCUCCACCCGAGACUCAGUGAAAUUGAACUCGCUGUGAAGAUGCAGUGUACCCGCGGCAAGACGGAAAGACCCCGUGAACCUUUACUACAGCUUGACACUGAACAUUGAGCCUUGAUGUGUAGGAUAGGUGGGAGGCUUUGAAGCGUGGACGCCAGUCUGCGUGGAGCCAACCUUGAAAUACCACCCUUUAAUGUUUGAUGUUCUAACCUGGCGCCGUGAUCCGGCGUGGGGACAGUGUCUGGUGGGUAGUUUGACUGGGGCGGUCUCCUCCCAAAGUGUAACGGAGGAGCACGAAGGUCAGCUAAUCCUGGUCGGACAUCAGGAGGUUAGUGCAAUGGCAUAAGCUGGCUUGACUGCGAGAGUGACGGCUCGAGCAGGUGCGAAAGCAGGUCAUAGUGAUCCGGUGGUUCUGUAUGGAAGGGCCAUCGCUCAACGGAUAAAAGGUACUCCGGGGAUAACAGGCUGAUACCGCCCAAGAGUUCAUAUCGACGGCGGUGUUUGGCACCUCGAUGUCGGCUCAUCACAUCCUGGGGCUGAAGUAGGUCCCAAGGGUAUGGCUGUUCGCCAUUUAAAGUGGUACGCGAGCUGGGUUUAGAACGUCGUGAGACAGUUCGGUCCCUAUCUGCCGUGGGCGCUGGAGAAUUGAGGGGGGCUGCUCCCAGUACGAGAGGACCGGAGUGGACGCAUCACUGGUGUUCGGGUUGUCAUGCCAAUGGCACUGCCCGGUAGCUAAAUGCGGAAGAGAUAAGUGCUGAAAGCAUCUAAGCACGAAACUUGCCCCGAGAUGAGUUCUCCCUGAGACUUUAAGUCUCCUGAAGGAACGUUGAAGACGACGACGUUGAUAGGCCGGGUGUGUAAGCGCAGCGAUGCGUUGAGCUAACCGGUACUAAUGAACCGUGAGGCUUAACCUUACAACGCCAAAGAAGU